UAACACACCAGUGCCCUGAAGGUGGAGA
rnacentral:piRNA from 1 species